rnacentral:misc_RNA from 1 species
AACUGAUACUACCUGCGGGAACCUGCGGAGGGAUCAUUACCAGAGUUGAAAAACUCCCUAAACACUUGUGAACUUACCUGUAUUGUUGCUUCGGCGGGCGGCCCCAGGGGGGGCCUCUGCCCCUCGCGGGGCGCUCGCCGGAGGUAUCAAACUCUAUGUUUAUUAUCUGCUUCUCUGAGAAACAUAUAAACAAGUCAAAACUUUCAGCAAUGGAUCUCU